UUUGAGUGUUAAUUUUGAAACCAGGGUAGUAUUAGUUAAGUUCUUUAAACCCAGAGAAUUUGGCGGUAUUUUAGUCCUUUCAGAGGAAUCUGUCCCUUAAUCGACAAUCCACGAGAGUAUUUACCUAAUUUUGUUUAGUUUGUAUAUCUCCGUCGUAAGAGAAUCUUUUUAGAGAUUAAUUUUCUUAAUAUAUUAAAUAUAUUAUGUCAGGUCAAGGUGCAGCUUAUAGUUAGGGGAGGAUGGAUUACAAUAAAUAUAUUUAGAUGGAUUAUAUUAAUUAAUUUUUAUAUUAAGGUGGAUUUGAUAGUAAUUUUAAUUAUUUGUUAUUAUGAUUUUGGCUCUAAAAUAUGC
rnacentral:rRNA from 1 species